GACAGAGGUGCCAAGCGUUAGGCAGAAUCACUGGGCUUAAAGCGUGUGUAGGCGGAUGUCUAAGUACCUUGUGAAAUCCCACGGCUCAACCGUGGAACUGCUUGGUAUACUGGAUGUCUUGAGCCAUCUAGGGGCUACCGGAACAAAUGGUGGAGCGGUGAAAUGCGUAGAUAUCAUUUGGAACGCCAAUGGUGAAAACAGGUAGCUGGGGAUGUGCUGACGCUGAGACACGAAAGCCAGGGGAGCAAACGGG
rnacentral:rRNA from 1 species